rnacentral:misc_RNA from 1 species
GAUGAAGAACGUAGCGAAAUGCGAUACUUGGUGUGAAUUGCAGAAUCCCGUGAACCAUCGAGUCUUUGAACGCAAGUUGCGCCCGAAGCCAUCAGGUUGAGGGCACGUCUGCCUGGGCGUCACAUAUCGUUGCCCAAUGCCUAUUGCAGUGCAAUAGGAAUUUCUAGGGCGAAUGAUGGCUUCCCGUGAGCGUUGUUGCCUCGCGGUUGGUUGAAAAUCGAGUCCUUGGUAGGGUGUGCCAUGGUAGAUGGUGGUCGAGUUAGAACGAUACCGAUCAUGUGCAUGCUCCCCAAAAUAUGGACUCUAUGACCCACACGCGUCUUUUGACGCUCAUGACGAGACCUCAGGUCAGGCGGGGCUACCCGCUGAAUUUAAGCAUAUCAAUAAGCGGAGGA